AACGAACGCUGGCGGCAGGCCUAACACAUGCAAGUCGAACGCCCUAGCAAUAGGGAGUGGCAGACGGGUGAGUAACGCGUGGGAAUAUCCCCCUCAGUACGGAAUAGCCCAGGGAAACUUGGAGUAAUACCGUAUACGCCCGUGAGGAGAAUGAUUUAUCGCUGAGGGAUUAGCCCGCGUAGGAUUAGCUAGUUGGUGAGGUAACGGCUCACCAAGGCGACGAUCCUUAGCUGGUCUGAGAGGGCGAUCAGCCACACUGGGACUGAGACACGGCCCAGACUCCCACGGGAGGCAGCAGUGGGGAAUAUUGGACAAUGGGCGCAAGCCUGAUCCAGCCAUGCCGCGUGAGUGACGAAGGCCUUAGGGUUGUAAAGCUCUUUUGGCGGGGACGAUAAUGACGGUACCCGCAGAAUAAGCCCCGGCUAACUUCGUGCCAGCCGCCGCCGUAAGAC
rnacentral:rRNA from 1 species